rnacentral:rRNA from 1 species
GCGAAACCUCUGCAAUAGGCGAAAGCCUGACAGGGUUAUUCUGAGUGACUUUCGCUAAGAAAGUCUUUUGACAUCUCUAAAAAUGGUGUAGAAUAAGGGGUGGGCAAGUCUGGUGUCAGCCGCCGCGGUAAUACCAGCACCCCGAGUGGUCGGGACGAUUAUUGGGCCUAAAGCAUCCGUAGCCGGUUUUACAAGUCCUCCGUUAAAUCCAACUGCUUAACAGAUGGGCCGCGGAGGAUACUAUAAGACUAGGAGGCAGGAGAGGCAAGCGGUACUCAGUGGGUAGGGGUAAAAUCCGUUGAUCCAUUGAAGACCACCAGUGGCGAAGGCGGCUUGCCAGAAUGCGCUCGACGGUGAGGGAUGAAAGCUGGGGGAGCAAACCGGAUUAGAUACCCGGGUAGUCCCAGCUGUAAACGAUGCAGACUCGGUGAUGGACUAGCUUAAUGCUAGUCCAGUGCCGCAGGGAAGCCGUUAAGUCUGCCGCCUGGGUAGUACGGUCGCAAGACUGAAACU